UGAAGUGGCUUUCUUGCUGGAUUUUGAUAUUUUGUUUCAUGGUUUCUUACAGCCACUAGUGGGCGCCCAUGACUUACACAUAGUGACGUUUCACAUUACAUUAGAUACUUCGUUCUAUAACAAUAUCUGAGUCAAACUGACUGACAGAAGUCCCCUUGUGACUUCAGCAUCAUAAGACGGGCGGGGAAGAGAGGGGUUGGCCUCAGAAAGAGCCGAUCUAACAUUUAAAACCGGAAUUAACAUUUAAACAUAUUAAAGGAAGAAUUAUUUUAUAAUUAACCAAAGACUCCUAAAAAAAGAAGACGAUAAAUUUAUGCUGCAAAAUGCUUUACUACUUGGCUUUACCGCUCUAUCUUCUGCUUGUUUACUCAGGUGCUGUGUCGGGCAAUUCAAUCCAAUCCAUUGAACCCCACGUGUCUGUCAUAGAAGGAGACGCUGUGGCACUCAGCUGCUCCUACAGCACCAGCUAUAGCGGUGUCUCUCUCCACUGGUACCGCCAGAGCCCCCGCCAAGCCCCUCAGUACAUUCUCCAGAGAGGCGCGAAGGGAAGCACCAUCAGUGACCACGCAGAUUUUGCCCGGAGGAGGUUCACUGCUGACACGAACGCCACUUCUACAGUUCUGACCAUCGCAGAGCUGGAGCUGGCGGACGAAGCUGUGUAUUAUUGUGCGUUGAAUGAGACACAGUGAGAGAGUCCCCGGAGACAGCUGCACAAAAACCCUCCCACAUCCCUCACUUGCAUUCUUCCCCAUCUGUCUUGGCUGUUGAGUUUGAAAAACCUUUGAAGCAGGAGCUGUCCCUCACUAGGUGUCUGUGCAGCCCCCUGCCUGACAGGGCCGGCCCAGAUCUCAGUUUUAUUGUCUAGGUGCCAUCACCAUGACCGUCAAUUUCCAACUGUGUGCUAGGAAAUACUUGGUCUCAGCGUUUUAAUCUGAUUUCGGGUUUUGAACAGCAGAUUACCAUUAAAAAUGAACAAGGAUGGAUAUAAUAGAUUGACAGAUUUUAAAAACCAGAAGGCACCGAUCUGAUCGAAUCUGACUCCUGCAUAGCACAGGUCAGAGAAUGUCAUCUCACAAGUCCUGCUUUCAGGAAAACAUUUUCAAAAAUUAACUACAGAAUUGCAAGCGCUCCCGUGACAGCGCUUUGAUGUGUGAGUGUGGUGGCGCUCAAACUUGCUGCUCUGGGUGUGUGUGUGUGGGGGUGAUUUUUCAGGGGUUAGAGCAAGUUAAAGCGCUAUAGAAUGAUAAGUGUAGACAAAUAUACCUUUUACUGGGCACCUCACAGCCCCAUAAAAUGUAUUUAUUUUCACAUCGUUUCCGUGAUAUAAGGCAGCACCAUGAUCUUCAUUUUGGGGAUGAGGUCCUGAAGCACAGAGAACUAACAAGUCACCCACCCAAGGUCACACAGAUAGUCUUUGGUAGAGCAGGGACUAGAAUCUUGCAAAGUUACAGCGCCGCUCAGAGAGCGCAGAAAGAAAACUGCAGUGGUGUGUUCACACCGACAGCUGCCUGCACGACAGCGUGUUCACACUGGCAGCAUUCACAGCGCUUUUCAGAGCGGUGCACUCUGGGCAGCUGUCCCACAGAGCACCUCUUUCUCUUUUGCUGCUAAGACUUGUGGGAAGGCGGAGGGGACCAAGGGACAUCCUGGGUCCUGUCCCAAUGCCCCG